CUACGGGUCGCUCCAGUGGGGAAUAUUGCACAAUGGGGGGAACCCUGAUGCAGCAACGCCGCGUGGAGGAUGACGCAUUUCGGUGUGUAAACUCCUUUUAUAUGUCAAGAAAAUGACGGUAGCAUAUGAAUAAACACCGGCUAACUCCGUGCCAGCAGCCGCGGUAAUACGGAGGGUGCAAGCGUUACUCGGAAUCACUGGGCGUAAAGGACGCGUAGGCGGGUUGGAAAGUCAGGUGUGAAAUCCUACAGCUUAACUGUAGAACUGCACUUGAAACUUCUAAUCUAGAGUAUGGGAGGGGGAGAUGGAAUUAGUGGUGUAGGGGUAAAAUCCGUAGAUAUCACUAGGAAUACCUAAAGCGAAGGCGAUCUCCUGGAACAUUACUGACGCUAAGGCGUGAAAGCGUGGGGAGCAAACAGGAUUAGAUACCCGUGUAGUC
rnacentral:rRNA from 1 species